ensembl:snRNA U6 U6 spliceosomal RNA
GUGCUCACUUCAGCAGCACAUAUACUAAAAUUGGAAAUGAUACAGAGAAGAUUAGCAUGGUUCCUGUGCAAGGAUGACAUGCAAAUUCGUGAAGCAUUCCAUAUUUUU